UACGUAGGCAGCAAGCGUUGUUCGGAGUUACUGGGCGUAAAGGGCGCGCAGGCGGCGCGAGAAGUCAGGCGUGAAAGCCCCGGGCUCAACCUGGGAAUUGCGCUUGAUACUCUUGUGCUGGAGUUCGGGAGAGGAGAGUGGAAUUCCCAGUGUAGAGGUGAAAUUCGUAGAUAUUGGGAAGAACACCGGUGGCGAAGGCGGGUCUCUGGGCAGUAACUGACGCUGAGGAGCGAAAGCGUGGGGAGCGAACAGG
rnacentral:rRNA from 1 species